rnacentral:rRNA from 1 species
CACAGUGUAGCAAUACAUGGGUGGCGACCGGCAAACGGGUGCGGAACACGUACGCAACCUUCCUUCAGGCGGGGAAUAGCCCAGAGAAAUUUGGAUUAAUACCCCAUAAUAUUUUGAGAUGGCAUCAUCUUAUUAUUAAAGCUACGGCACCUGGAGAUGGGCGUGCGGCUGAUUAGGUAGUUGGCGGGGUAAUGGCCCACCAAGCCUACGAUCAGUAGCUGAUGUGAGAGCAUGAUCAGCCACACGGGCACUGAGACACGGGCCCGACUCCUACGGGAGGCAGCAGUAAGGAAUAUUGGUCAAUGGACGCAAGUCUGAACCAGCCAUGCCGCGUGGAGGAUGAAGGUCCUCUGGAUUGUAAACUUCUUUUAUCUGGGACGAAAAAAGGGUUUUCUAACUCGUCUGACGGUACCAGAUGAAUAAGCACCGGCUAACUCCGUGCCAGCAGCCGCGGUAAUACGGAGGGUGCAAGCGUUAUCCGGAUUCGCUGGGUUUAAAGGGUGCGUAGGCGGGCAUUUAAGUCAGUGGUGAAAUACCUGAGCUUAACUUGGGAACUGCCAUUGAUACUAUUUGUCUUGAAUGUCGUGGAGGUUAGCGGAAUAUGUCAUGUAGCGGUGAAAUGCUUAGAUAUGACAUAGAACACCUAUUGCGAAGGCAGCUAACUACGCGAAUAUUGACGCUGAGGCACGAAAGCGUGGGGAUCAAACAGGAUUAGAUACCCUGGUAGUCCACGCCCUAAACGAUGAUUACUCGACAUUAGCGAUACACUGUUAGUGUCUGAGCG